rnacentral:lncRNA from 1 species
GCCUACAGAGAAUGGUGGUUUUCUCAAGGAAAAACAUUUGUGCUUAUUUGAAUUGUAAACUGAACUCAACUUCUGCUUUUUUAAGACUCCUUAUGUUCACAUUAGACAAUAAACUUUAGUUUUCAGACAAUAAACUAUAGUUUUUGGGUAUUUGGUAGACAUAUUCUUGAAAAGGAAGCAAAUGGGCCUGUCAUUUCUAGGAGAAUUAUAUAUCUACUACCAGUGAUCAGAUUCAAGUUUCCAAGUAAAGUUAAACUUGCUAAAGACAUACCAUUGGGAAUUUCCUCUUUUCCCCCUAGUUUUUUUUUUUUUUCUUUUUGUCAUGCUGGGAAUUGAACCCAUGGCCUUGUACAGGGGUGGCAAGCACUCUACCAACUGAGCUAUAUCUCCAGCCCACUCUUUUUUUUUUUUUCAAAUUGGUGUAUUAUAGUGAUACAUAACUAUGGGAUUUAUUGUUACAUAUCCAUACAUGCACACAAUGUAACAAUGUAAUUUGGCCAACAUCACUCCCCCUCCCCCUGACUAACUCUCUCACACCCCACCUCCCAGCCCUUGGUCCCUUUCCUCUACUAAUCUCCCUUUGAUUUUCAUGAGAUCCUCACCACAGCCCUGCCACUUUUCUUUUCCUUUUUGCUCUCUAGCUUCCACAUAUGAGAAGAUCAUGAGAACUUUGACCUUCUGAGAUUAUUAUUUUGUUUAAUAUAAUGGUCUCUAGUUCCAUUUUCCUGAAAAUAAUAUAAUUUCAUUUAUCUUUAUGGCAAAAUGAAACUCCACUGUGUAUAUUUACACUUUCUUUUAAUCUGUUAAUCUUUCAUUAAUCUGUUGAUGGACACCUAGGCUGGUUCCAUAGUUUAGCUACUGAGAUUUGUGCUGCUAUAAACAUGGGCACAAUUGUGAAUUUCUGUGUCUUUUUUUCUUCUCUCUCUCUCUCAGGGAUUGAACCCAGGGUGCUAUAUCACUAGGCUAUAUUCACAGCUCUUUUUAUUUAUUUUUUAAAAUUUUGAGGCAGAGUUUCUAUAAGUUGCUCCGGCUAGCCUCAGACUUGCAUCGUUCUGUCCAAGAUUAUAUGCACGUGUCACCACACCCAGCAGGUGAAUAAAUUUAAUGUAACAGAAUUGUAAAGUUAACUGACUUAAUUUCAGAUUUCCUGUUUUAAUUAUCUUUAAGAAACUACCACUGGAUAGAUUUGCUAGAAUAUCAAUGAAUAAUUAUUUGAUAAAGCUAAAUAUUCUUCCCAUACUACUGAUUUAUGAGUAGUGGAUUUUCUCAUACUUGAACCAAAAACUUUAUAUCCCAAUAGUAUGAAUGAAUGAAGAAUUGAAUAAGAAUCCAAUCAUCAAUUAAGCCAAAUACCAAAGAGCUCUCCAAAAUGUUUUUUAAAAGUCAUUCUUUUCAAUAAAUUGUUUUGCAAACUAGCUAUUUUUCAUAAAAAUGGUUUUAUUAUGUAAUUUUUUACUGUUACUUUAAACGAUUUAGUAAAUAUUUUUAAACUUUGUUUUCUUUUUUUAAUAUUUUAUUUUUUAGUUGUGGUUGGACACAAUACCUUUUUUUAUUUAUAUGUGGUGCUGAGGAUAGAACCCAGGGCCCUGCACGUGCUAGGUGAGCACUCUAUCACUGAGACACAACCCUAGCCCAGUUAAUUUCAAUUGUGGUAAAUAUCAACAGCUAUAACACCCACACAAAGACUCUUUGGGAUCUCUGAUCAUUUUUUAAAGUGUAACAGAAUCCCAUGACCCAAAUUUUGAGAACCAAUGACUUAAAAUAUCAGGUGCUGGAAGUGUAACUCAGCAGUAGUGUGCUUACCUAGCAUGAAUGGGACCCUGGGUUUGAUCCACAGCACUGCAAAAUUAAAUGCCAUAUCAUGUCACUUCUCUGCUUAGAGACCCUCCAGUGCUUUUUUUCCUACCUUCUUCAGAUUUUGUUGUAUUGACUACAUAGAUCUACCCUUUUCUGCCCUCCUUUAUCUGUCCCUGCAUUCCAUUCAGUACACUUGUCUCUUUGUAGUACCUACAAUUAGUCAGACACUGUCCUGGCCUUAGUCCCAUGCAUCAGUAGUUCCCUCUACAUGAAAGCAAUUUCCCAGUUUUCUGCAUGGCUAUUUCUCUCAAUUCCUUUAAAAAAAAAUCUGGACUCAAAUGACAUCAUCUCAAUAACCAAAUAUGAGAAUGAUAUAUAUAAAUUGUGACCCUACUAACUGCUCCCACCUACCAGCAUCUUCUAACAUUUAUGUCUACAGUUUGUUUGGCCUCCCUCUUCUCCAACUAGCAUAAUUUAAGCCCCAAAGUCUAAAAAAAAAAAGCCUGCCACUGAGAACGACAAACAUCAGGUGCUGAGGCAGAAGGAUCACAAGUUUCAGGCCAGCACCAGCAGGGAAACCCUGUCAAAGAAUUUAAAGGGCUGGGGAUGUAGCUCAGUGGUAAAGCGCCCUUGUAUUUAAUUUCCCCUACCUGAGGAUGGACCACACACACACACACACACACACACAAUUUGUUGAAUGAAAAAACAUACUCGUUUACCAGCUGUCAUUUCUGAAGACAUGGCCACAAAUUCCAAGGGAGCGGAUUCAAUUUACAGAGACGAGGAGUCAAUGAAAGCAAACCAUUUUGAAAUGAGAGAAAAAAGGUGGGAUAAAUUAAUCAUAAACCUCAAUAUUUGUAAGCAUGAAAAAAAAAAAAACGUUCUUGGGGAUUCAGGGUGGGGAAUAUUACAAAGGUCUGCAUAGAGAAUUUAAGGNGUUAAACUUGCUAAAGACAUACCAUUGGGAAUUUCCUCUUUUCCCCCUAGUUUUUUUUUUUUUCUUUUUGUCAUGCUGGGAAUUGAACCCAUGGCCUUGUACAGGGGUGGCAAGCACUCUACCAACUGAGCUAUAUCUCCAGCCCACUCAUUUUUUUUUCAAAUUGAUGUAUUAUAGUGAUACAUAACUAUGGGAUUUAUUGUUACAUAUCCAUACAUGCACACAAUGUAACAAUGUAAUUUGGCCAACAUCAUUCCCCCUCCCCCUGACUAACUCUCUCACACCCCACCUCCCAGCCCUUGGUCCCUUUCCUCUACUAAUCUCCCUUUGAUUUUCAUGAGAUCCUCACCACAGCCCUGCCACUUUUCUUUUCCUUUUUGCUCUCUAGCUUCCACAUAUGAGAAGAUCAUGAGAACUUUGACCUUCUGAGAUUAUUAUUUUGUUUAAUAUAAUGGUCUCUAGUUCCAUUUUCCUGAAAAUAAUAUAAUUUCAUUUAUCUUUAUGGUAAAAUGAAACUCCACUGUGUAUAUUUACAUUUUCUUUAUCCAUUAAUCUGUUGAUGGACACCUAGGCUGGUUCCAUAGGUUAGCUACUGAGAUUUGUGCUGCUAUAAACAUGGGCACAAUUGUGAAUUUCUGUGUCUUUUUUUCUUCUCUCUCUCUCUCUCUCAGGGAUUGAACCCAGGGUGCUAUAUCACUAGGCUAUAUUCACAGCU